GACGGAGGGUGCUAGCGUUGUUCGGAAUCACUGGGCGUAAAGGGCGCGCAGGCGGCCUUUUCAGUCGGGCGUGAAAGCCCGGGGCUCAACCCCGGAACGGCGCCCGAGACGGGAAGGCUGGAGACCGGGAGAGGAGGGUGGAAUAGCCAGUGUAGAGGUGAAAUUCGUAGAUAUUGGCUGGAACACCGGUGGCGAAAGCGGCUCUCUGGCCCGGUUCUGACGCUGAGGCGCGAAAGCGUGGGGAGCAAACAGG
rnacentral:rRNA from 1 species